UACGUAGGGUGCGAGCGUUUAAUCGGAAUUACUGGGCGUAAAGCGUGCGCAGGCGGUUAUUUAAGUCAGGUGUGAAAGCCCCUGGGCUUAACCUAGGAAUUGCGCUUGAGACUGGAUAGCUUGGAGUGCGGCAGAGGGAGGUGGAAUUCCACGUGUAGCAGUGAAAAUGCGUAGAGAUGUGGAGGAACACCGAUGGCGAAGGCAGCCUCCUGGGCCAGCACUGACGCUCAUGCACGAAAGCGUGGGGGAGCAAACAGG
rnacentral:rRNA from 1 species